GUGGGGAAUAUUGGACAAUGGGCGAAAGCCUGAUCCAGCAAUGCCGCGUGAGUGAUGAAGGCCUUAGGGUUGUAAAGCUCUUUUACCCGGGAAGAUAAUGACUGUACCGGGAGAAUAAGCCCCGGCUAACUCCGUGCCAGCAGCCGCGGUAAUACGGAGGGGGCUAGCGUUGUUCGGAAUUACUGGGCGUAAAGCGCACGUAGGCGGUUUUGUAAGUUAGAGGUGAAAGCCUGGGGCUCAACCCCAGAAUUGCCUUUAAGACUGCAUCACUUGAACGUCGGAGAGGUGAGUGGAAUUCCGAGUGUAGAGGUGAAAUUCGUAGAUAUUCGGAAGAACACCAGUGGCGAAGGCGGCUCACUGGACGACUGUUGACGCUGAGGUGCGAAAGCGUGGGGAGCAAACAGGAUUAGAAACCCUGGUAGUCC
rnacentral:rRNA from 1 species